rnacentral:piRNA from 1 species
GCUCAGUUGGUAGAGCGGAGGACUGUAGU